ACGAACGCUGGCGGCGUGCCUAAUACAUGCAAGUUGAGCGCUGAAGGUUGGUACUUGUACCAACUGGAUGAGCAGCGAACGGGUGAGUAACGCGUGGGGAAUCUGCCUUUGAGCGGGGGACAACAUUUGGAAACGAAUGCUAAUACCGCAUAAAAACUUUAAACACAAGUUUUAAGUUUGAAAGAUGCAAUUGCAUCACUCAAAGAUGAUCCCGCGUUGUAUUAGCUAGUUGGUGAGGUAAAGGCUCACCAAGGCGAUGAUACAUCGCCGACCGGAGAGGGUGAUCGGCCACAUUGGGACUGAGACACGGCCCAAACUCCUACGGGAGGCAGCAGUAGGGAAUCUUCGGCAAUGGACGAAAGUCUGACCGAGCAACGCCGCGUGAGUGAAGAAGGUUGUCGGAUCGUAAAACUCGGUUGGUAGAGAAGAACGUUGGUGAGAGUGGAAAGCUCAUCAAGUGACGGUAACUACCCAGAAAGGGACGGCUAACUACGUG
rnacentral:rRNA from 1 species